GACGAACGCUGGCGGCGUGCUUAACACAUGCAAGUCGAGCGGAGCGGCGAACGGGUGAGUAACGCGUGAGUAACUGCCCCCCUCUCUGGGAUAACAGUUGGAAACGGCUGCUAAUACCGGAUAGUGGGGGAUGACUCGCGUCCAAUCAGCUUGUUGGUGGGGUAGUGGACUACCAAGGGGACGACGGGUAGCCGGCCUGAGAGUGGGAACGGCCACAUUGGGCUGAGAUACGGACCAAACUCCUACUGGGGGCAGCAGGGGGGAAUAUUGCACAAUGGUGGAAACCCUGAUGCAGCAACGCCGCGGGCGGGAUGACGGCCUUGGGGUUGGAAACCGCUUUCAGCCAUGACGCGGUAGUGGCAGAAGAAGCACCGGCUAACUACGUGCCAGCAGCCGCGGUAAUUC
rnacentral:rRNA from 1 species